rnacentral:snRNA from 1 species
AUCGCUUCUCGGCCUUUUGGCUAAGAUCAAGUGUAGUAUCUGUUCUUAUCAGUUUAAUAUCUGAUACGUCCUCCAAUGUGAGGACUAUAUAUUAAAUGGAUUUUUAGCACUGGGAGCUGAAAGAGGGGUUUGCUCCUUUCACUCCACGCAUCGACCUGGUACUGCAGUGCUGCCAGGAACGGUGCAUCCUUC